GCCAGGGUGGUGCAGUGGUUUGAGUCCUGGGCCACAAUUCUGGGAGACCAGGGUUCAAAUCCCUGCUCAAUCA